GAUGAACGCUGGCGGCGUGCCUAAUACAUGCAAGUCGAGCGAACGGAUGAGAAGCUUGCUUUUCUGAUGUUAGCGGCGGACGGGUGAGUAACACGUGGAUAACCUACCUAUAAGACUGGGAUAACUUCGGGAAACCGGAGCUAAUACCGGAUAAUAUAUUGAACCGCAUGGUUCAAAAGUGAAAGACGGUUUUGCUGUCACUUAUAGAUGGAUCCGCGCUGCAUUAGCUAGUUGGUAAGGUAACGGCUUACCAAGGCAACGAUGCGUAGCCGACCUGAGAGGGUGAUCGGCCACACUGGAACUGAGACACGGUCCAGACUCCUACGGGAGGCAGCAGUAGGGAAUCUUCCGCAAUGGGCGAAAGCCUGACGGAGCAACGCCGCGUGAGUGAUGAAGGUCUUCGGAUCGUAAAGCUCUGUUAUUAGGGAAGAACAUAUGUGUAAGUAACUGUGCACGUCUUGACGGUACCUAAUCAGAAAGCCACGGCUAACUACGUG
rnacentral:rRNA from 1 species